CCUACGGGUGGCAGCAGUGAGGAAUAUUGGUCAAUGGACGAGAGUCUGAACCAGCCAAGUAGCGUGAAGGAUGACUGCCCUAUGGGUUGUAAACUUCUUUUAUAUGGGAAUAAAACGUUCCACGUGUGGGAUUUUGUAUGUACAAUAUGAAUAAGGAUCGGCUAACUCCGUGCCAGCAGCCGCGGUAAUACGGAGGAUCCGAGCGUUAUCCGGAUUUAUUGGGUUUAAAGGGAGCGUAGGUGGAUUGUUAAGUCAGUUGUGAAAGUUUGCGGCUCAACCGUAAAAUUGCAGUUGAAACUGGCAGUCUUGAGUACAGUAGAGGUGGGCGGAAUUCGUGGUGUAGCGGUGAAAUGCUUAGAUAUCACGAAGAACUCCGAUUGCGAAGGCAGUUCACUGGACUGCAACUGACACUGAGGCUCGAAAGUGUGGGUAUCAAACAGGAUUAGAUACCCCAGUAGUC
rnacentral:rRNA from 1 species